AUUGAACGCUGGCGGCAGGCCUAACACAUGCAGGUCGAAUGGUAACAGGAAACAGCUUGCUGUUUCGCUGACGAGUGGCGGACGGGUGAGUAAUGUCUGGGAAACUGCCUGAUGGAGGGGGAUAACUACUGGAAACGGUAGCUAAUACCGCAUAACGUCGCAAGACCAAAGAGGGGGACCUUCGGGCCUCUUGCCAUCAGAUGUGCCCAGAUGGGAUUAGCUAGUAGGUGGGGUAACGGCUCACCUAGGCGACGAUCCCUAGCUGGUCUGAGAGGAUGACCAGCCACACUGGAACUGAGACACGGUCCAGACCCCUACGGGAGGCAGCAGUGGGGAAUAUUGCACAAUGGGCGCAAGCCUGAUGCAGCCAUGCCGCGUGUAUGAAGAAGGCCUUCGGGUUGUAAAGUACUUUCAGCGGGGAGGAAGGGAGUAAAGUUAAUACCUUUGCUCAUUGACGUUACCCGCAGAAGAAGCACUGGCUAACUCCGUG
rnacentral:rRNA from 1 species